UCUGGCGAUGACGACACACUUGCCCUCACUGAGAACGUUGUUCAGUAAUGAGAGCCUCACCGAGUACUCGGCUGAGCCAGA
ensembl:snoRNA